rnacentral:rRNA from 1 species
GAUGAACGCUGGCGGCGUGCCUAAUACAUGCAAGUCGAGCGAACGGACGAGAAGCUUGCUUCUCUGAUGUUAGCGGCGGACGGGUGAGUAACACGCGGAUAACCUACCUAUAAGACUGGGAUAACUUCGGGAAACCGGAGCUAAUACCGGAUAAUAUUUUGAACCGCAUGGUUCAAAAGUGAAAGACGGUCUUGCUGUCACUUAUAGAUGGAUCCGCGCUGCAUUAGCUAGUUGGUAAGGUAACGGCUUACCAAGGCAACGAUGCAUAGCCGACCUGAGAGGGUGAUCGGCCACACUGGAACUGAGACACGGUCCAGACUCCUACGGGAGGCAGCAGUAGGGAAUCUUCCGCAAUGGGCGAAAGCCUGACGGAGCAACGCCGCGUGAGUGAUGAAGGUCUUCGGAUCGUAAAACUCUGUUAUUAGGGAAGAACAUAUGUGUAAGUAACUGUGCACAUCUUGACGGUACCUAAUCAGAAAGCCACGGCUAACUACGUGCCAGCAGCCGCGGUAAUACGUAAGUGGCAAGCGUUAUCCGGAAUUAUUGGGCGUAAAGCGCGCGUAGGCGGUUUUUUAGUCUGAUGUGAAAGCCCACGGCUCAACCGUGGAGGGUCAUUGGAAACUGGAAAACUUGAGUGCAGAAGAGGAAAGUGGAAUUCCAUGUGUAGCGGUGAAAUGCGCAGAGAUAUGGAGGAACACCAGUGGCGAAGGCGACUUUCUGGUCUGUAACUGACGCUGAUGUGCGAAAGCGUGGGGAUCAAACAGGAUUAGAUACCCUGGUAGUCCACGCCGUAAACGAUGAGUGCUAAGUGUUAGGGGGUUUCCGCCCCUUAGUGCUGCAGCUAACGCAUUAAGCACUCCGCCUGGGGAGUACGACCGCAAGGUUGAAACUCAAAGGAAUUGACGGGGACCCGCACAAGCGGUGGAGCAUGUGGUUUAAUUCGAAGCAACGCGAAGAACCUUACCAAAUCUUGACAUCCUUUGACAACUCUAGAGAUAGAGCCUUCCCCUUCGGGGGACAAGGUGACAGGUGGUGCAUGGUUGUCGUCAGCUCGUGUCGUGAGAUGUUGGGUUAAGUCCCGCAACGAGCGCAACCCUUAAGCUUAGUUGCCAUCAUUAAGUUGGGCACUCUAAGUUGACUGCCGGUGACAAACCGGAGGAAGGUGGGGAUGACGUCAAAUCAUCAUGCCCCUUAUGAUUUGGGCUACACACGUGCUACAAUGGACAAUACAAAGGGCAGCGAAACCGCGAGGUCAAGCAAAUCCCAUAAAGUUGUUCUCAGUUCGGAUUGUAGUCUGCAACUCGACUACAUGAAGCUGGAAUCGCUAGUAAUCGUAGAUCAGCAUGCUACGGUGAAUACGUUCCCGGGUCU